rnacentral:lncRNA from 1 species
GGAAGGCAACACAGAUGAGUAGUCACCAGGGACUGGGAAGGAGAAUUAGUCUAUGCUGCUGUGGCUGAUCUUCUGAGGGAAGGUGGGGGCCCCGUAACCAGCAGGGUGGUGGUCAGCAGCUGGGGGACCAGGCACUGCCAGUUCACAGCUGAGGAUGGAAUGCGGGGUCAGGACAGACAGACUUCUAGUCAGGACAAAAAUGGAAAGGACAUAUCUUCCUCACGUGUAACAGAGGGGAGCAUCUCACUUCCCAGAAGCAGGUGA